rnacentral:rRNA from 1 species
UACGUAGGUGGCAAGCGUUGUCCGGAUUUACUGGGCGUAAAGAGCGCGCAGGCGGUCGAUCAAGUCGAGUGUGAAAGCCCCCGGCUCAACUGGGGAGGGUCAUUCGAUACUGAUCGACUCGAAGGCAGGAGAGGGUAGUGGAAUUCCCGGUGUAGUGGUGAAAUGCGUAGAUAUCGGGAGGAACACCAGUGGCGAAGGCGACCACCUGGCCUGUUCUUGACGCUGAGGCGCGAAAGCUAGGGGAGCAAACGGG